CAUGUUCAAUGUCCUAGACCAAGACUGUCAGAUUUCCCUUGCCUUAAGAUGGCUGCUACAUAAAAUAGCAGCCUCCUCCUUCCCAUAAUGCUCUGCACCUUAAGAUGGCUGCCACAUGGAAUGGCAGCCUCCUUCCCAUAACGCCAUGUUAAAACAUGGCUUCUCCUACCAAAGGGCAGUUUUCUUCUUCCCAACAUGCCCCUCUUCCCACCAAGAAAGCUAACCUGAUAUUUGCUACCUCCUAGCAACUAGUGAUGUAACAAGCCCCUCCUAGUGAUGUCACAGGCUCCUCCAAUCCUUUAAUAUUACCUCACUCAACUCCACCCCAGCUCCUGCUAACUCCACCCUGCUACUAUAAAAGAAGUUCCUUGUCCCUGCCAUGUUGCUUUUCUCUCCUUUGUUCCAAGACAGCCUGGCAGAUCCUCCCCAUAAUUAAGGACAGUCUUUCCACUGUACAGACCCCCAUGGUGCAUGCAUGAUCUUUAAAAUGAAGAAUCCAUCUAAAGAAGUUAAAUGAGGGGAAAAAAUUCAAAACAGAAUACAAAUAGCAAGGUUAAAUUGAGUGCUGUUAACUCCCUGCUGACACCAACUAAUAGUGCAGAAGCAACAGCAGGAAACUGAAACAGAGCAAUCCUGAUGCAUAAAAAUCAAAGCAGCCUGAAUCACCAAAUUACCAAGAUGGAAGUCUCCACCCAAGAGAAUUGCUCAAAUACACUGCCUAUUGAUUUGUACAAAAGCCAGCAAAACUGAAGAAAACUGUUUCUUCUUGGGACUCAGGAACAAAGCUCAUCCUAGCUUUAUCCACCCUGGAUUUCUCUACACAUGUCAAUCUUCCUAGACCUGAAAGGGACUGUCUUUUCCAAGAACCUUGACACUCUUAAGAAUACUCAGCAGUGGAGCGGAACCACGAGGCGCCCAGGAUAUGAGGGAGGUAAGCACCGGCCGGGGAGACCAGGCUCCGUGGCUGCCUGCCUGGCAGGCCAGGCUGGGAGUGGAUAAAAUUGCUGAUACAAUUGCCCUCUAUAAAUUCCUGUCAGCGCCUUGGGACUUGGAAAGAAAAUGCCUGGUUUCAUAUCUAGUGAAAGUAACGGACUCUCAAGGGGUAGUCCAUCUAAGAAAAACAGACUUUGAAGUUUUUCCAGAAAAAGGAAACUAUGCGAGCCUUAGAUUUUACACUCUCAAGAAAACGAAGAAAAAGCUUGUGAAUACGGAGGACCAGAAAUUGACCAGGUUGUUCCCAAAGCACAGUCCUCACCUAUAAACUGUGAGAAGAGAGAAAACUUGCUGCCGUUUGUGGGACUGAAUAAUCUUGGCAAUACUUGUUAUCUUAAUAGUAUACUUCAGGUAUUAU